rnacentral:rRNA from 1 species
UGAUAGAAAUUUAAACACUUUUUAAAGUAUCAAUUGGAGGGCAAGUCUGGUGCCAGCAGCCGCGGUAAUUCCAGCUCCAAUAGCGUAUAUUAAAAUUGUUGCAGUUAAAAAGCUCGUAGUUGAAUUUCUGUUAAAAAUAACCGGUCUGCUUUUUUUAUUAAAAGUUGUAUCAUUUUGGUGUGUUUUUAACAAUAAUAAUGUCCUUUGAAAAUGUUUUUUACUUUAUUGUAAUAAGUCAUUGUUUUGAGGAUUUUUACUUUGAGAAAAUUAGAGUGUUUUUAGCAGGCUUUUACGCUUUUGAAUACUGCAGCAUGGAAUAAUAAGAUAGGAUUUUAGUUCUACAUUAUUGGUUUUAAGAACUAAAUUAAUGAUUGAUAGGGAUAGUUGGGGGCAUUUGUAUUUAACUGUCAGAGGUGAAAUUCUUAGAUUUGUUAAAGACAAACUAUUGCGAAAGCAUUUGCCAAAGAUGUUUUCAUCAAUCAAAAACGAAAGUUAGGGGAUCGAAG